CUGCACUGUAGAUCGGGUUUGCGAUGAUUGCUUAUUGAAGUUACAGGGGGAAAAAGGAGGAGAAAGCCUAAGAGGGGAGGGUUCAAGUAAAGUUUGUUUCUCUUCUGAUGGACCUCAAUCUGGCCCGCAAGCAGAAUGGCCGAGCUUCCUGCAAUUUGCAACCCGUUUUUUUGUUGCAGCUUUUGCACGUGACAAGUUUCUUUUGCAACAUAUUUACCAGAAGAAAAAAAAAAAUCCACCGCGUGGGGAUUCAUGCAUAAUCCUUCUUCGGAGAACCAGAAUAAACUGCAGGCAUUACGUGAUAAUAUGCAUUAAAAUGAGUCGACCGCCCCAAUGAGGGAAUAGAUUAGAUGAUAUCCUCCCUGUACUUGAAUACCAAAGGAGGUGUAUCCUUGUUAGAUACAACAAUUAUGCAAUUAAAUUACCUCUUCAGCAUCCAUGCGAAUUGGUUAAAUCUUUUCUAAUUCCGAAAUCAGAACCACAAUGCGUGUCAAGGCUUAGCUAGUCGAUUAGCUUGAAAUAGUCUUUGCUUUUCCCCUUCCUCGAGCGUUUAGCAAGCUCGCUGCUUUUUUUUUUCUUCGCCAGAACAAGCUGACGGCAUGAAAGAGUGCCUUCUAAGUUGAUUUCAGGUGUGAUUCUGCAUGAGGAAAUUUGCAGCCAGCUGGUAAAAGAAGGAUCUUCACUCGGAGCAAAUUGAACAAGCUGACGGCAUUAAAGACUGCCAUAUGUUUUGGAAAAGACUAUCUGGAUGCUUGACUGAAUCGCUUCAAGGUUGUUUGGCUGUUUGUUGACGCUCCUAUAUUGGCUGUUCUUAGUUGCUGCAUUCAGUGAAAAUAAAGCCGACUGAGUCUAAUUCUACAACUGAGCAUCCUACUUGGGGAUUGCAAGAAGCGACUGUUGACCAGUUUCUGCUACUUCAGGUCUGGCAGGUACGAGUGGUGAAGAGAUGAUGCGCUGUAGAGAUGAGCCAGAGUAAUCUUCGGCUCUUAGUUGUUGCGGUGACAACAUCCUGAGUCAUUUCCACCACUCAAUCUGUUGGAUUUUUGUUUCUUCAGCAAUAGGGAUGAGGAAAUUUCACGGUAAAAACCGAGAAACCACGAUGCGCUCCCUCCUUGAAUUUGGAUGCAAGCCAACCAGCUUCGUUUUCAUCGAUCAAGUCAUUCGAAGCAUGCUUUUCCCGCAUUGCGAGUGAGCGUACCAGGAGAACCAGUAGUUAUGAUGCAAUUUUACCCAAUGCUAAUUGCUCAAUGUUGCUAAAAACGAAACGAGCAGAUGUUAUUACAAACGAGCAGACAAACAAGGGGAUAUGAGUUUGUUUCUUAUGUCCGAGGCGCACAACCCAGAAGUUUUUCCUGUGGCGGUAUGUGAAGCUUCACCCUGCCUAAAUGGGACAAGAAAGAGUUGACUUUACAUCUUGUGCUGUACCUAUAUAAUCAUGCCUUUAAA